UCCGCAAUGGGCGAAAGCCUGACGGAGCAAGUCCGCGUGCGGGAGGAAGGCCUGUGGGUUGUAAACCGCUUUUCUCAGGGAAGAAGCUCUGACGGUACCUGAGGAAUCAGCAUCGGCUAACUCCGUGCCAGCAGCCGCGGUAAUACGGAGGAUGCAAGCGUUAUCCGGAAUUAUUGGGCGUAAAGCGUCCGUAGGUGGCUAUUCAAGUCUGCUGUUAAAGCCUGGAGCUUAACUCCGUAUCGGCAGUGGAAACUGCAUGACUAGAGUGCGGUAGGGGUAGAGGGAAUUCCCAGUGUAGCGGUGAAAUGCGUAGAUAUUGGGAAGAACACCGGUGGCGAAAGCGCUCUACUGGGCCUGAACUGACACUGAGGGACGAAAGCUAGGGGAGCGAAAGGGAUUAGAUACCCC
rnacentral:rRNA from 1 species